rnacentral:rRNA from 1 species
CACGUAGGGGGCAAGCGUUGUCCGGAUUUAUUGGGCGUAAAGAGCUCGUAGGCGGCUCACUAAGUCGGGUGUGAAAUUUCGAGGCUCAACCUCGAAUCGCCACCCGAUACUGGUGUGGCUAGAGUCCGGUAGGGGAGCGUGGAAUUCCUGGUGUAGCGGUGAAAUGCGCAGAUAUCAGGAGGAACACCAGCGGCGAAGGCGGCGCUCUGGGCCGGUACUGACGCUGAGGAGCGAAAGCGUGGGGAUCAAACAGG